CAUCACCGAAGUUAAGCAAGGUCGAUCCUGCUCAGUACUUAGAUGGGUGACCGCUUAGGAAUACCAGAUGUUGCAAG